GAUGAACGCUGGCGGCGUGCCUAAUACAUGCAAGUCGAGCGAACAGACGAGGAGCUUGCUCCUCUGACGUUAGCGGCGGACGGGUGAGUAACACGUGGAUAACCUACCUAUAAGACUGGGAUAACUUCGGGAAACCGGAGCUAAUACCGGAUAAUAUAUUGAACCGCAUGGUUCAAUAGUGAAAGACGGUUUUGCUGUCACUUAUAGAUGGAUCCGCGCCGCAUUAGCUAGUUGGUAAGGUAACGGCUUACCAAGGCAACGAUGCGUAGCCGACCUGAGAGGGUGAUCGGCCACACUGGAACUGAGACACGGUCCAGACGCCUACGGGAGGCAGCAGUAGGGAAUCUGCCGCAAUGGGCGAAAGCCUGACGGAGCAACGCCGCGUGAGUGAUGAAGGUCUUCGGAUCGUAAAACUCUGUUAUUAGGGAAGAACAAAUGUGUAAGUAACUAUGCACGUCUUGACGGUACCUAAUCAGAAAGCCACGGCUAACUACGUG
rnacentral:rRNA from 1 species